ensembl:lncRNA
CUUAUCAGCUGCUUACAGAGAGAGCAAAUGUUUACCAGCUGCCUUCCCUCCCUCGUGUAUUCAGUGCUUUCUGCAGUGCUGUUCUGUCUCUGGUGCUCCCAAACAGUUUUCAGCUGCUGAUGGCCUCCCUUCAGGAAGCUGACUGAGUACUGGCAGCUGGAUUGCCAGUUUUGCAGUGUUUCUUCACUUAGGCAGUCAGAUGACUGCUGCCUCGUGCCUGGAAAAAGCCAGCAGUUGAGAACAAACUAAUGUACUGCAUACACCAGCCUUGCUGUGUGUAGAGGCUUAUACCUCAUAGCCUGUCCUGAAACUGCUCUCUGGAGUCCAGCACUUGCCUCUUUCCUCUUGUGCUCAGCGCCACACAGGCCUGCCUGCAGUUCAGGUAUUGGUUGCAUUGAUCUGAGUUGUGUAAUCCCAGAUGAUGCAAAUUCUGAUAAUGCAGAACAGAAAGAGUGAAAGAAAAACUGCGUGGGCCCUAAUCCUUUCUCACAGGCAGAAGAUCGGCUUUGGAUUGCAGCACGUCAAAAUGAAAAUUAAUCCUUUCCCUUGAAAAAAAGGAAGUGCCAGUUCUCUUCUGUGAUGCCAUACAACUCUGCAGUGCUAGUCUUGCCUCCAAAAGCUGCCUGGUUCUUGUUCAAACUUAUACUGGACCUCCUAAAAAGGGAGUGUAAAUUGAAAGACCAUCAACAGUCAGAAGUGAUGCUAUUUCAUACCUCUUCAAAUCAGAAACUGCAGACAAUGUAAUUCUGCAAGUCUGUCAUGUUUUGUAGCCUUUCAUCUAGCAAGAUUUUAAGAUGUCUUAAUUUUAUCUGCUGCCAGGCCUGUAAAAAAGAUUCUUACUGAUUAAUGUGUAUAUAUAUUUUUUUUAACUGAAUGGAGAGGUUAUGGUUUUUGAAACAUUUCUGGAAUUUGGGAUAAUUGAAAGAUUUUCUUGGAGAUUUGCAAUACUGAAUUAUAACCUGUACUGAGACUGGUACUUAGUUGGACUGCAUUGUAUUGAAAAUGUUAAUUUCUGAUUCUUUAAUGACAACAUAUGCAUAACUAAGAUUUGGCAUAUAUACCUGUAUUGCCUAUGUGUAUUUUACUUUACAAAGACACAGACUGGCCACAGGUUGAGCGAGAAGGAGGGCUGUGUGAUACUUACAAUGGAAUAGCCCAGAACUGUAAUGUUCAUUUCCUUACUCAGAAUUAUCUUACUGAUACUGCAUAGCAAUCAGGAAUUCAUGCAUCUAUUUUCUGCGUAUUAUAUAUUCUUCAUCUAGUAAUCUCAUUAAUGAAAAGCUUUUCCUAGAUGUGUAGUGUGGAUUAUUGGGUUUUAUUAAUCCUUUCAUUUCCUUAGAAGGAUGAUUUGAUGUUUUCAGGGAAUGUGCACAAUUGAGGGUGCUAAGCACAAUUGGUAUAUUCAUUUCACAUAAACCAGAUGUUGAAAAUAAUGAAAUUCCUACCACUAGGCUCCCAUUUUACUGGAAGCUUAUUUUGGGCUUGGAAAUCAUCUAGAAAUCGAAUCCGUAAGCACUGCUUUUGUCUUUGAAUGAAGCAAAAUGGUGAGAGCAACUAUUUGCAUCCACCCAUUCCUUAAAGCAGUUAAUUGUUUAGCAUUUUACAGCUCCUGAAUCAUCAUCUCCCUUGUGUUUGUUUUACAAGAACAGAGUUCCUCCCCUAAUUGCUGUUUUUUUUAUAACCAAGAAUUAUUUUGCAACGUAUAAAGCAAUCUGAUUC